UCCUUCUCUCAUCGCUUGCUAAAAAGAUUUAAUCCCUGGCUCUGUUUGUAGCUGCCUCUGUUUUUAUUUGAUCACAGGCAAGUCUCUGCUACUGGGAAACAACAUACAACAAUAAACUUAUUUCCUAAUUUCAUUGCCAAUAUUUAUUUCGGAACAUGAUUCCAAACUACUCCCCUCCUCCUCCUCCUAAUGGUUUGUACUAGGGACUUACUUUCGCCUUUGUCUCCUCUUUCCGUCAAUCACUUUGAUGCAGGACCUAAAACAUUACACACUGUCAGACACACCCCUCGCCUUUCCAUUUGCUUGUUUGCGUG